AAUCGGGAGAGAUUACUUAAAUGUAGCGCCGAAGGAGCAACCACCCCGGAAACUCUCAGGCAAAAGGACCGUA
rnacentral:ncRNA from 1 species